GGGGAUGGUCAUGGGUGACGGGCGAUCCUUGCAAGAUCGCUGGCGUGGGGUUCGAUUCCCCAUAUCUCCACCA
rnacentral:tRNA from 1 species